AUGUGUGUGCCUUUGCUGGUUUCUGACUGUCACAAAGAAGUCAGAGCUGUGGGCGGCGAGGCCACUGCGGCAACAAUGGCUAUGAGGACAGUUUUCAGCAAGCGGUGCUCCCUGAAUGUUGCGUUGAACUACGUCGUUGCGUGGCUUGCAACCUUCUCCUAUCAAGCCCGUAUGCAAAAUCGAAACUGUCAUGUCCUCGGUGUUGUGCUCGACUAUUCAUUGUUGCUUUGUGGCUCCGUGCUUCCUCUCCACAGUUAUAUCGUUUUUUGUGAUGUAAUCUUAUUAGUGGUUGGGUCAUCCAUGCGAGCCCCUUCUGAAGUUUGUAGUCUAGGUUAG
rnacentral:rRNA from 1 species